rnacentral:rRNA from 1 species
CCUACGGGAGGCAGCAGUGGGGAAUUUUGGACAAUGGGCGCAAGCCUGAUCCAGCAAUGCCGCGUGAGUGAAGAAGGCCUUCGGGUUGUAAAGCUCUUUUGUCAGGGAAGAAACGGUUGGGGCUAAUAUCCUCAGCUAAUGACGGUACCUGAAGAAUAAGCACCGGCUAACUACGUGCCAGCAGCCGCGGUAAUACGUAGGGUGCAAGCGUUAAUCGGAAUUACUGGGCGUAAAGCGUGCGCAGGCGGUUUUGUAAGUCUGUCGUGAAAGCCCCGGGCUUAACCUGGGAAUUGCGAUGGAGACUGCAAGGCUUGAAUCUGGCAGAGGGGGGUAGAAUUCCACGUGUAGCAGUGAAAUGCGUAGAGAUGUGGAGGAACACCGAUGGCGAAGGCAGCCCCCUGGGUCAAGAUUGACGCUCAUGCACGAAAGCGUGGGGAGCAAACAGGAUUAGAUACCCUGGUAGUCCACGCCCUAAACGAUGUCUACUAGUUGUCGGGUCUUAAUUGACUUGGUAACGCAGCUAACGCGUGAAGUAGACCGCCUGGGGAGUACGGUCGCAAGAUUAAAACUCAAAAUGAAAUUGACGG